CCGACGGGUGAGUAACACGUAUCCAACCUGCCGUCUACUCUUGGACAGCCUUCUGAAAGGAAGAUUAACACAAGAUGGCAUCAUGAGUUCACAUGUUCACAUGAUUAAAGGUAUUCCGGUAGACGAUGGGGAUGCGUUCCAUUAGAUAGUAGGCGGGGUAACGGCCCACCUAGUCUUCGAUGGAUAGGGGUUCUGAGAGGAAGGUCCCCCACAUUGGAACUGAGACACGGUCCAA
rnacentral:rRNA from 1 species